GCGGAAGGAUCAUUAACGAAUCAAACAAGUUCAUCUUGUUCUGAUCCUGUGCACCUUAUGUAGUCCCAAAGCCUUCACGGGCGGCGGUUGACUACGCCUACCUCACACCUUAAAGUAUGUUAACGAAUGUAAUCAUGGUCUUGACAGACCCUAAAAAGUUAAUACAACUUUCGACAACGGAUCUCUUGGCUCUCGCA
rnacentral:misc_RNA from 1 species